rnacentral:rRNA from 1 species
AGUGAACGCUGGCGGUAGGCCUAACACAUGCAAGUCGAACGGCAGCACAGUAAGAGCUUGCUCUUACGGGUGGCGAGUGGCGGACGGGUGAGGAAUACAUCGGAAUCUACUUUUUCGUGGGGGAUAACGUAGGGAAACUUACGCUAAUACCGCAUACGACCUACGGGCGAAAGCAGGGGAUCUUCGGACCUUGCGCGAUUGAAUGAGCCGAUGUCAGAUUAGCUAGUUGGCGGGGUAAAGGCCCACCAAGGCGACGAUCCGUAGCUGGUCUGAGAGGAUGAUCAGCCACACUGGAACUGAGACACGGUCCAGACUCCUACGGGAGGCAGCAGUGGGGAAUAUUGGACAAUGGGCGCAAGCCUGAUCCAGCCAUACCGCGUGGGUGAAGAAGGCCUUCGGGUUGUAAAGCCCUUUUGUUGGGAAAGAAAAGCAGCAGGUUAAUACCCCGCUGUUCUGACGGUACCCAAAGAAUAAGCACCGGCUAACUUCGUG